GAAAUGCGAUACGUAAUGUGAAUUGCAAGGCUCAGUGAAUCAUCGAAUCUUUGAACGCAUAAGGCGCUUGGGUCUUCGGAUCCAAGCACGUCUGUUGGAGCGGCAGCCCCAAUCAUCUCACCCCCCUCCUCCCACUCACGUGGGUUUCUGGGGCGCGUGGAGAGUGGGAGUCACCGCGGGCCCGCCUCGAGCGGGCUGCGGCGUCUCCCGAAAUGCAGGGGGCAGCGGGGAACUCCGUCGCCGUAGCGUGCCAGCCGGACCCUCGUGUCUGGAAGUGCCGUUGCCGUGACGCCCCACUAACUCAGCCCCGGCGAGACGCUCGACAGUUGGGAGGUGCCCUGUGCACCGCCCAAUCUGCCUGGCUUUUGCCCUCCAAUCAGGCGAGAUUACCCGCUGAAUUUAA
rnacentral:misc_RNA from 1 species